AGUGAACGCUGGCGGUAGGCCUAACACAUGCAAGUCGAACGGCAGCACAGAGGAGCUUGCUCCUUGGGUGGCGAGUGGCGGACGGGUGAGGAAUACAUCGGAAUCUACUCUGUCGUGGGGGAUAACGUAGGGAAACCUACGCUAAUACCGCAUACGACCUACGGGUGAAAGCAGGGGACCUUCGGGCCUUGCGCGAUUGAAUGAGCCGAUGUCGGAUUAGCUAGUUGGCGGGGUAAAGGCCCACCAAGGCGACGAUCCGUAGCUGGUCUGAGGGGAUGAUCAGCCACACUGGAACUGAGACACGGUCCAGACUCCUACGGGAGGCAGCAGUGGGGAAUAUUGGACAAUGGGCGCAAGCCUGAUCCAGCCAUACCGCGUGGGUGAAGAAGGCCUUCGGGUUGUAAAGCCCUUUUGUUGGGAAAGAAAUCCAGCUGGCUAAUACCCGGUUGGGAUGACGGUACCCAAAGAAUAAGCACCGGCUAACUUCGUGCCAGCCGCCGCAGUAA
rnacentral:rRNA from 1 species